rnacentral:rRNA from 1 species
UACGGGGGGGGCAAGCGUUGUUCGGAAUUACUGGGCGUAAAGCGCAUGUAGGCGGCCUAGCAGGUCGGAUGUGAAAUCCCUCGGCUCAACCAAGGAAGUGCAUUCGAAACCGCAAGGCUCGAGUCCCGGAGAGGAUGGUGGAAUUCUCGGUGUAGAGGUGAAAUUCGUAGAUAUCGAGAGGAACACCGGCGGCGAAGGCGGCCAUCUGGACGAGGACUGACGCUGAGAUGCGAAAGCGUGGGGAGCGAACAGG